AGAGUUUGAUCCUGGCUCAGGAUGAACGCUAGCGGCAGGCCUUACACAUGCAAGUCGAACGGUAACAUAAUCAGCUUGCUGAUUGAUGACGAGUGGCGCACGGGUGCGUAACACGUAUGCAACCUACCUCUAACAGGGGGAUAGCCCAGAGAAAUUUGGAUUAAUACCCCAUAGUAUUAUUUAUUGGCAUCGAUAGAUAAUUAAAACUCCGGUGGUUAGAGAUGGGCAUGCGUUCUAUUAGCUAGUUGGUACGGUAACGGCGUACCAAGGCAACGAUAGAUAGGGGGCCUGAGAGGGUUAUCCCCCACACUGGUACUGAGACACGGACCAGACUCCUACGGGAGGCAGCAGUGAGGAAUAUUGGUCAAUGGAGGCAACUCUGAACCAGCCAUGCCGCGUGCAGGAAGACGGCCCUAUGGGUUGUAAACUGCUUUUGUAUGGGAAGAACUAGUUUUACGUGUAAGACUUUGACGGUACCAUACGAAUAAGGAUCGGCUAACUCCGUGCCAGCAGCCGCGGUAAUACGGAGGAUCCAAGCGUUAUCCGGAUUCAUUGGGUUUAAAGGGUCCGCAGGCGGACUAAUAAGUCAGUGGUGAAAGCCUGCAGCUUAACUGUAGAACUGCCAUUGAUACUGUUAGUCUUGAAUUCGGUCGAAGUGGGCGGAAUAUGUCAUGUAGCGGUGAAAUGCAUAGAUAUGACAUAGAACACCAAUUGC
rnacentral:rRNA from 1 species